rnacentral:rRNA from 1 species
AUGAACCAAAUUCAUUCUAAUGUGAACGAAUAUGAGGUUUGGCAUUCACGUCUUUGUCACAUAAAUUUCGGUUGUGUGACGCGGUUAGCUAAGAUGAAUCUAAUCCCGAGUUUCACUUUAGCCAAAGGCUCUAAGUGCCAUGCGUGUGUGCAAGCAAAGCAACCUCAUAAGCCUCACAAGCCUGCGAAGGAGAGACACCUGGCACCACUAGAGCUCAUACAUUCAGAUCUCUGUGAGAUGAAUGGUGUGUUGACUAAAGGUGGAAAGAAAUACUUCAUGACUUUGAUUGAUGAUUCCACUAGAUUCUGUUAUGUGUAUUUGUUAAAUACAAAGGAUGAGGCUCUACACUACUUUAAAAUCUAUAAGGCUGAAGUUGAGAACCAACUUGAGAAGAAAAUAAAACGAGCCCGGUCUGAUCAUGGUGGAGAGUACUUUUCUAGUGAGUUCGAUUUAUUCUGUGCGGAACAUGGUAUUAUUCAUGAGAGGACGCCUCCCUAUUCACCCCAGUCAAACGGGGUUGCCGAACGAAAAAACCGUACUCUAACAGAUUUGGCUAACGCCAUGUUAGAUACAUCGGGUUUAUUCAAGGCAUGGUGGGAGGAGGCUAUAUUGACAUCAUGUCAUGUCCUGAAUAAAGUUCCCGCGGAGGAUAAUGAGACUAUUCCCUAUGAGCAAUGGGAAAAGAAAAGAACUACACUCUCUUACUUGUGCACUUGGGGCUGUUUGGCGAAAGUCAAUGUGUCGAUCCCCCAAAAGUGUAAACUUAGACCAAAGAUCGUGGACUGCGUUAAUUUGGGCUACGCUAAGAAUAGCGUUGGCUAUAGAUUUUUAGUAGUGAAAUCUGAGGUACCUGACCAGAAGGUUGGUACAAUUAUAGAAUGUAAGGAUGCUACAUUCUUUGAGGAUAUUUUCCCCAUGAGAGAUAUGCAAAGCACUUCUAGACUGGAAUCUGAUGAGACUCCUGAACCUGUCAUACCGAUGGAAUACUAA